GAGGGGGCGGAGAUCCGAUGUUGGAACCAGAGCCGGAGGGGACGUGAUGCGCUGCACCGAGGCACAUCAAUUUCAUGCGCCAGCCACUCUCAUCAUCCUUGAUCCUCCCCUCCCUCAGUAGCUACUACAGGCUAGCAGGCUUUUGUGCCGUGUUUGUUAGACUAUUUUUGUGUUCAAAUUCCCCACAUACCUCUUCCAUUUCUAGUUCACGACUUUGAUAAAAGAGUUUCAUGUCCUUGUAAAUUUGUGUAUGUGGUUGCCGAAAUUUAGUGAGGACAGCUGCUCUAUGUCUGUCUAUCUUUUCAUCUUUCAAACUAUUGUCAGCUUGAAUAUUUAAGUUAACAAUGAGGAAAAAAUUCCUUCAUUCUGAAGUCAGAACUCGGCUAGCAAGAGUGGUCCUCUCGGACCUGUGCUUUCUGCAGCCAUCCAUCCUGCUGCGACAUUUUUGGCACUUAAUAUAUUGAGCAGUUGUGCAUGUUCGCAGCAGCUGAGGAUUUUUGGGAACUGUGGGGCAAGUUUGCUGCGGUUCCUGGGUGGGGUUUUGUCAGGCAAUGUGAGAGCUGGCCUUCUUAUUGAUGGAUCCUCCCCCUCUCUCAUUUGUUUUAUCUGUUUGUAUAUGCACUUUCUGAAUUUUCGCUUACAUUUCAUGCCUUUAAGAUUUUGAGAAUGCCAUGUCGUAAUGCUUAUUUAAUGUAAACUGAUGAAUCCUAGAUUAUCUUUUGUUGGUUCCUUGUUAUUUGCAUGUCGUAAUGCUUGUUCCUUGUUCAAAUGUUACCACAAAUUUACGAAGUAUUUCUAUAAUUUCACUCGGUAUGAACUAUAGUUUAUUUAAUUUGACCCAUAUCUACUACUUUCUGUAUACCAUCAUCGAAUGUAUUUUGUGAAAUAGGAGGAAGAGAGGGGUUUAAUGAGACACUUAUCAUGUCCAUCACUGGGAUAUUAACUCUGAAAAUUGUAGAAAUGCUCUUAGUAUUGGGUGUGUUAAAGACUUCAAUUAAUCUUAGUUUACUGACCAGCAAGAAUGCAUCACUAUUUGUGUGUGCGUGUGUGUGCGCGCGCGCGCGUGUGCGUGUGCGUGUGUGCGUGCGUGUGUGCGUGUGUGUGUGUGUAUGUGGGUGUUCCAGAUUUUGUUUUCUCUAAGUAGCCUUUUGAGUUAUCUGUCUUAUUACAAUACCCCAAGCAGCUUGUAUCCUGUUACUAUGCAUGUUAACAAAUCGACCCACAUUUUUUCGGCUGUCAAGUAUAUGCUAUCUCGGAUUGAUUUUUUGCAUUUGGUUACUCAUAUUGUCUUUUAAGAAUGCUUUCUACAUUUUGGCAUUAUUUUCAGCAAGGAGGUAAUCAACUAUGACAAUGUCCGUGUUACCUUUGACGAGCUUGGGAAAUCAAUGAGUCGAAGCCAUAAAAAAUCUGUGCACAUCCAUGUUAUUAACGCAUUUUGCAGGAAGUUGUUCAAGGAUAGACACCCAAAAGAUUCGGGGAAAUAUUAUUUCUUCUCACCUGUUGGCGAUUAUCUUAUGAGCCAUGAAGUCAAUCAAUCUUAUAUGUUUGAGAAAUGUGGGAAAUGCUUCAGACUUGCAAAUGGGAGCUUCAACUUUGCGUUGUCAGAUUAUGUAUGCCUUGCAUACCCUACUGUGCUACUUCAAUUUUUGUUUAAUGCCUCUCUAAGAAAUAUAUUUUCAUCAUUUAUUUUUUGUCAUUGUCACACCAAUUUUUGAAAUGAUGAGUACACCUAUUUCAGGAUGCAACACAUGUGAACUGUCUUUUCCACAAUGGUAUAAUUUUCAUCAUUUAGUAGUUUGUAAACAAUCAUGAAUUCAUUACUAUAUUAUUCUUUUUUCACUCACAAACCUGUGAACAUUGUAUUGAAUUCCACGUAUCUAUAUAUCUAGCAUCAUUUCCCUGUAUUAUAUUUUUCAAGAUUUCGUCACUUGUAAAUAUCUAUAAUGCACUACCUAAAUGAUUAAGAAUAAUGAAUAUGUAAAACACAGCAACUGGAGCACCUAUUUUUUUCUCACCCGUAUGUUCUGUGGAUUUGUGCAUCCUGGAUUGUCAUCAUGAUCGAAUGCGCCAGAAGUGAUGUUACCUGCCUCCAAUCAUUUCGUGUGAAAUUUCCCACCUAAAGCACAAAAUUGGAACAACAAUCAGCAGAACCAACAAAGGGGCGGCUGUCACCAUGAGGCAUCAUUAUUCACUUUUUUAAUUAAUUGAGUUCGAGAAAGUGCCCGUGAGGUCAUUAAGUCAUCAGCUGGAAGGAGGAACACAAAGAGGAUAACAUGGGGUGGGUGGGGGAGAGAGGAACUGACAUUGCCCGCCGAUGCAUCCUGCUCAUAUUUUUGUUGAUCCCCCCAAUAGAUCUCCAUCCGCUGCUUUCUCUUGCUUUUGGGAAGGUUUUCCUCCAUGGCUUCACGAGGCUUACAUAGCAGAUUUGUUUUUCCUUUUGUGUGUCUGGGGCUGGAGGCAGAGCUGUGAUAGAUCACGUUUUUUGGCGGCUACCAUAGCAUGCAUUCGCGCCUCUUUUUUCUGUGUAUUUUUUAGAUCAAUUUUGUUAAACUAUGUAAUGGGCUAAUGGUAUAAUUUUGUUUUUGCAUGUUCUUUUA